CUUAAGUAGACUGUUGUCAUCUCUUUUCUUUUGAGUCCAAUUUUCCUAUAGUUUGUUUAUGUCAAUGGCUCGACAAAAUGAUAAAAUAUAUUUCCAGAAAGCACAUGGAUUUGGAACUCUCUCUUGUUAUGUUUAUAUUAGGCUUUAUUUUAAAGGCAAGUGAGACUGCUUCAAGUAAAACAACUUCAAGCUUCCAAGAAACAGUUAAGAGGAGGCAGAGAGGAGCAGAAACACUUCUUCGCUGACACUUACACUGUUGCCAUGGACCUACAUAAGCAGUGGGAGAACACAGAGACUAACUGGCAUAAGGAAAAGAUGGAAUUACUGGACCAGUUUGACAAUGAAAGAAAGGAAUGGGAAAGUCAAUGGAAGAUUAUGCAGAAGAAAAUAGAAGAGCUUUGCCGGGAAGUAAAGCUUCGGAGGAAAAUCAAUAUGAAUGAACGUGCUAAGAUCAUUGAUCUUUACCAUGAGAAGACCAUUCCAGAGAAAGUGAUAGAAUCUUCCCCAAAUUACCCCGAUUUAGGACAAAGUGAAUUUAUAAGGACGAAUCACAAAGAUGGUCUGAGAAAAGAAAAUAAAAGAGAGCAGAGCUUAGUCAGUGGAGGAAAUCAAAUGUGUAAGGAACAAAAAGCAACAACAAAAUCAAAAGUAGGGUUUUUGGAUCCUUUGGCUACAGACAACCAAAAGGAAUGUGAGGCCUGGC
rnacentral:sRNA from 1 species